rnacentral:rRNA from 1 species
UACAGAGGGUGCGAGCGUUAAUCGGAGUUACUGGGCGUAAAGGGCGCGUAGGCGGUUUAAUAAGAUUGAUGUGAAAGCCCUGGGCUUAACCUAGGAACUGCAUCGAUGACUGUUAAGCUAGAGUAUUGUAGAGGGUAGUGGAAUUUCCGGUGUAGCGGUGAAAUGCGUAGAGAUCGGAAGGAACACCAGUGGCGAAGGCGGCUACCUGGACAAAUACUGACGCUGAGGCGCGAGAGCGUGGGGAGCAAACAGG